rfam:Triticum aestivum genome assembly, contig: Triticum_aestivum_CS42_TGACv1_scaffold_147777_2BS
CCACUUCUCAGUUGGUAAAGCACAAGGCUCUUAACCUUGUGGACAUGGAUUCAAGUUCCAUGAUGGGGG